rnacentral:rRNA from 1 species
GAAAGGAGUGCUAAUACCGGAUGUGAUCAUCGUGCCGCAUGGCAGGAUGAAGAAAGAUGGCCUCUACAAGUAAGCUAUCGCUAAAGGAUGGGCCUGCGUCUGAUUAGCUAGUUGGUAGUGUAACGGACUACCAAGGCGAUGAUCAGUAGCCGGUCUGAGAGGAUGAACGGCCACAUUGGGACUGAGACACGGCCCAAACUCCUACGGGAGGCAGCAGUGGGGAAUCUUCCGCAAUGGACGAAAGUCUGACGGAGCAACGCCGCGUGAGUGAUGAAGGAUUUCGGUCUGUAAAGCUCUGUUGUUUAUGACGAACGUGCAGUGUGUGAACAAUGCAUUGCAAUGACGGUAGUAAACGAGGAAGCCACGGCUAACUACGUGCCAGCAGCCGCGGUAAUACGUAGGUGGCGAGCGUUGUCCGGAAUCAUUGGGCGUAAAGAGCAUGUAGGCGGCUUAAUAAGUCGAGCGUGAAAAUGCGGGGCUCAACCCCGUAUGGCGCUGGAAACUGUUAGGCUUGAGUGCAGGAGAGGAAAGGGGAAUUCCCAGUGUAGCGGUGAAAUGCGUAGAUAUUGGGAGGAACACCAGUGGCGAAGGCGCCUUUCUGGACUGUGUCUGACGCUGAGAUGCGAAAGCCAGGGUAGCGAACGGGAUUAGAUACCCCGGUAGUCCUGGCCGUAAACGAUGGGUACUAGGUGUAGGAGGUAUCGACCCCUUCUGUG